ensembl:misc_RNA
UUGAUGGGUGUUGGUUUUUUUAAUUCCACAGAAUAGGGGAAACACAGCAGUGACAGUUUUGUUCCAGUACAUUGUGCUACUAGUUGGCCUCAAUCCUGACCUAGACAGAACAUCUAAAAGCUGAAAAUUAAUUUACAGUCUAUUCCAGGUCAGUCCUUGGCAUCU